rnacentral:rRNA from 1 species
GACGUAGGGCGCGAGCGUUGUCCGGAUUUAUUGGGCGUAAAGAGCUCGUAGGCGGCUUGUUGCGUCGACUGUGAAAACCUGCGGCUCAACCGUGUGGUCUGCAGUCGAUACGGGCAGGCUGGAGUUCGGUAGGGGAGACUGGAAUUCCUGGUGUAGAGGUGAAAUUCGUAGAUAUUCGGAGGAACACCAGUGGCGAAGGCGACUGCCUGGACGAACAUUGACGCUGAGGUGCGAAAGCGUGGGGAGCAAACAGG